ACAGAGGGUGCGAGCGUUAAUCGGAAUUACUGGGCGUAAAGCGCGCGUAGGCGGCUUUGCAAGUCGGGUGUGAAAUCCCCAAGCUCAACUUGGGAACUGCAUUCGAGACUGCUUUGCUAGAGUAUGGGAGAGGGAAGUGGAAUUUCAGGUGUAGCGGUGAAAUGCGUAGAUAUCUGAAGGAACAUCAGUGGCGAAAGCGACUUCCUGGACCAAUACUGACGCUCAUGUGCGAAAGCGUGGGGAGCAAACAGGAUUAGAUACCCUGGUAGUCCACGCCAUAAACGAUGAGAACUGGAUGUCGGGAGGGUCUGCCUCCCGGUGUCGUAGCUAACGCGUUAAGUUCUCCGCCUGGGGAGUACGGCCGCAAGGUUG
rnacentral:rRNA from 1 species